rnacentral:lncRNA from 1 species
GUGUGCCAAGCCCCCAUGGGCCGUGCCAAUGCUGCACAGUCUGCUCUGUUGGUGCCCAGAACGAGAUGGUUGUGGGAGGCAGAGCUGGCUGAGCACCUUAGCAAAUCUGCUUUCCCUGGCAGCAUCCUGUGUGCCUGGAGGUGCCCCCAGCCUGCCCUCCCAGGGAUCUGCAGAGGGAACAUGCCCUGCUGGAUGAACAAGGGUAGGAGUCAUUCCCCAGAUAAACAGGACCUUCCUGGGACUAUGGGCUGCAGAAACUUGGUCAAGGACAGAGCAAGAGGAGACAAAUUUUACAUGGGAAGGAUUUAUGAACACAGACACAGGCAUUGCUUGUUCUCUUUCCUGUUGCUCACACACGUCUGGAAGUUAAACCCAUGAGCUAAUUGCAAAGCUGCAUGCACACAUUAUAUAUAUAUAAAUAAUAAUAAACCUCCCAUUCAUUAUGUACCCUGGAGUGUC